AGGACGAACGCUGGCGGCGUGGAUUAGGCAUGCAAGUCGCGCGACGGACCUUCGGGUUACGGAGCGGCGAACGGGUGAGUAACACGUGAACAAUCUGUCCCUACAUUCCGGAUAAUUGGCCGAAAGGCCUUGUAAUACGGGCGAGGAUGGUGGUGAGGCAUCUCACUAUCAGGGAAGGUGCAACGCAAGUUGUGCCGUGCAGGGAGGGGUUCGCGGCCUAUCAGUUAGUUGGUGGGGUAACGGCCUACCAAGACGACGACGGGUAGCUGGU
rnacentral:rRNA from 1 species